rnacentral:tmRNA from 1 species
GGGGAUGAAAUGGCUUCGACGGGGAGGGCUGGUCACAGACUGCAAGCCGAGGUGCUCCAACCUCGUAAAACAGGGGCAAAAAAGUAACUGGCGAGACACAACUCGCUCUCGCUGCGUAAAGGCAGCGACGUCCGAUCAGGUCCUGUGCCGGCGGACCUGUAAGGGCGACGACUCAGCCGGCGUGCGGUCGUCACGACGCCGAUAAGUGGUGACCAAAGACUCAUCGGCUGGCCCGGGUACGGGCUCUGUCGUCUGAGAACGGCCCGGGUGAGAAAACUGAGAGACGACUAAGCUUGUAGAUGUCUGUGGUCUAACUCUUCGGACGCGGGUUCGAUUCCCGCCAUCUCCACCU